AUGGUGGCAUGGCAGGGGAGAUACCAUGAUCAUGAAGGUGGUUUUCCCAGGGUGAGGCUCAUCCAUUGCACUGCAGGUGUGCUGACCCCUGCAAUUUCCCCAAAUGCGGGAAACUCGACUGCAUAAUUUGUGGUAGUGGGGGACUGCGUUCGUA
rnacentral:snRNA from 1 species